AUGGCGUUGAGCGGAGGAGAUCCGUCCGGAUUCGUCGAUUGCACAAUUUUGCUGCAAUCAGAAAUUGUAGUCGAUAAUAGCCCCUCCAAGAGUGUAAAUACCAAAGAGCAGAUUAUUUCUAUUACAGCUGAGAAAACAAGUGCUACUGAUGCGCGUGGCUCUACCUCCUUAAAGUCACCAGAAGGUGCACAUGAGAAGGCUAAUUUUUUGGGAAAAGGUGGAGAACAGCCUUAUGUCUACCAGCCCAAUGUGAAUGUACCACAGCCACAGACAGUCUAUUCUGGAGGAUACAUCAAUCCUUCAGGGCAAUGGGAAGAGUAUCCCUAUUAUGUGAGUAUGGAAGGACUCCAUUCUGCGUCACCUUCAAUCAUGCUAUCUCCUGGGUAUGCGAACAACCCCCAAAUGAUGUAUGGAGCUUAUUCUCCUGUUUCAACUGUUGGAGAGGGCCAGUCCUAUUCCCCUAUGCACUUCCCCUUCUCAAGUCCUUACUAUCAGCCACCGGCUUCUCUUAGUAUGGGAUACUCAAAUUCUAGUACUGGAAUGUCUCAAGGAGACCCUAUGCUUCAGCAAGAGUACUUCCUUCCUGAUGGUCUUCUCUAUUCACCCACAACAGUGUACCACCAACCAUUUGAGUCAUACAACAGAGCGGCAACACAACCAAGCAGUGCUCCGGGAUUAUUUGGGCAAGGGAAUGCACCAUUGGUUUCUGGAAUGCAGCAUGGAUCAAUGUAUAAUUCUGGAUCCUACAAGGCACGCCAACAAGCUAGUAAAUAUGGAGGCACUACUCCUAAUUGGGGUUCUGCUGGUCGUAGAUUUAAUAAUUUCGACUACAACUCCAGUCAACAAAGGGGGAGCAUGCCAUUCAAUAUCCAGAAUGGUGCAUUGGAGUUUCUGAAUGAGCAAAACCGUGGCCCACGUGCUGCAAAACCAAAGAAACAAGACAGAGACAAUUCUUUAGUAGAUGACAAAAGCGAGAAAACCACUCAACUUAUUGACAGUGAACUGUACAAUUGUCCUGAUUUUGCCACGGAGUACAAGGAUGCGAUUUUUUUUGUAAUUAAAUCAUACACGGAGGACCAUGUACAUAGGAGCAUUAAGUACAAUGUUUGGGCCAGCACAGCUAGUGGCAAUAGAAAGCUGGAUUCAGCUUAUCGUGCGGCCAAACAGAAAGAAGACCAUUGCCGUGUUUUCUUGUUCUUCUCGGUUAAUGGCAGUGGUCAGUUCUGUGGUGUUGCUGAGAUGAUUGGACCUGUUGACUUCGACAGAAGUGUUGAUUACUGGCAGCAAGACAAGUGGAGUGGCCAGUUUCCUGUGAAGUGGCACAUUAUUAAGGAUGUCCCAAACACCCUACUCCGGCACAUCACUCUUGAGAAUAAUGACAACAAACCUGUAACAAAUAGCAGGGACACCCAGGAGGUCAAGCUAGAGUAUGGUCUCCAGAUGCUAAGCAUAUUCAAGAAUCAUGAGGCUGAGACAAGCAUUGUGGAGGACUUCGACUUCUAUGAGCAACGGGAGAAAGCCUUGAAGGAAAAUAGACGUCAGCAGCAGCCUGGCAGCGCAGAGUCCCUGAAGCCAACAGACGCUAAGGCUGUAGGGAACUCUGUUACUCAUAUCGCGGACUCAUUUUCUCGGAGUGUCCAGCUGAAAGAAAUUGAGAAAAGUGAUAACAAACUGACAGCUGAUGGUGCCAUCUCAGUGAAUGAUGCACAGACAGCUACCGUCAAGGCCGAAGAAAGCAACACAAACAAAACUAAAGGUCCUGUGGAGGAGAGCAGUUGA
rnacentral:rRNA from 1 species